UGCCAGCCGCCGCGGUAAUACGUAGGGUGCCAGCGUUGUUCGGAAUUAUUGGGCGUAAAGCGUGCGUAGGCGGACUAUUAAGUCUGGUGUGGAAUCCCUCGGCUCAACCGAGGACCUGCAUUGGAUACUGGUAGUCUUGAGUCCCGGAGAGGAUAGCGGAAUUCCUAGUGUAGAGGUGAAAUUCGUAGAUAUUAGGAGGAACACCAGUGGCGAAAGCGGCGAUCUGGACGGUGACUGACGCUGAGGCACGAAAGCAUAGGUAGCAAACAGGAUUAGAUC
rnacentral:rRNA from 1 species